GGGCCCUGCGCCCCGCCCCCUCCUCACGCCCGCAGAGCUGGGGCCCCCGGGCUCCGUGGGGGAGGCGGGUCGUGGUGGCUUUCGGGCGCGCGUUCCGGGCCCCAGUGAACCCCAGCACCCACGACGGAAGCAAAAGUGAAGCUCCCAGCAGACCCACGUGCGCUGGCAAAAGUGGAGAAAUACACCGAACAUAGGCACCCAGAAUUAGAGAAUUUGGCCCAGGACCUUGCCAGGACUGUUUAUUUACAGGGAGGGCUAUGGACCUAGGAUGCCCUCAGGGCUGCAUGCAAUGGCAAAGUUUCUUUUCCUGCAUUCUCAGAGAAGAAGAAAUCUGGAGGCUUGGUUCCUGAUGGAUUUUAUUUCCUGCUUUAUAAAUCUCUAUCAGUGAUGUCAUCCAAUAAUUGCUCAAGUUGAAAUAUAGUGGAAUAGAAUCCUCUAUAUGUUGGGUAAAAUGCCCACAUCAAAUUUCAGAUGUGAAAAACUCUGAUAUCAAUUAAAAUAUGGUACGGAUUUAAAGUAACAGCUUAAGACUGAAAAUCAUACGUGAAUUGGCCUGUCCCUUUAAAAAGAAAAGCAAUCGCAUUUUGGUUGCUGAGCUCUCAUUGGAUUUAUUUUAUCUUAGCAGCUGUUCCUGAAGUCGAUGUUAUUCAAAUGAGGGGUUUCAAGCUCUUUGUUGUGUUUUUCAACUUAUGGUAUAUGCUAUCAAACAUAAGACCCAAAUUUAGAAUGGGGUGGGGACAAGGGACAAUUAGAAAUACCAAAGAAAUAAAAUAAUAUUGAAAAAGCCCUCUAAAUUUUUACUUAGCAAAGAUAAAACCGAUGAACAUGAUCUGCCUGAGGCCCCAGUUAACAGUAGCAGGGCAAAACCCCCAAACC